GCCGCCGUGGCGCAACGCUAGCGCAUCACCUUCCUACCAGGAAGUCGGGACAAUAGAUCUCCUUCCGUGGGUCUGUGACUCUGCGGUAUAUAGGUGGGGGUUGCGGGUUCGAUCCCCGUCGGUGGUU